CCUCCUCCUGCCGCCACCCCUUUCCCUCUAUCGUUGCCGCCGCCUCACCCCUCCCCACGCUCGUGCCUUCUCCUUCUCCCACCCCGGGCUCCACCUUCUUCGGCCCCUGCCUGCGCUCCAUCCUUCCUCCUCGUUGUGCCAGGCAUCGCCGCUGCUGCGGAGGGCUCCUCAACGCCGCCGCAUCCGGGGAGGGCGCCCUACAAGACAGCCCUAGAUGUGGCAGGCGACUCCAUCCCCAGUCGCGUGCGGCGAAGGCCAGCCCAGAUCCGCCUCCUCCAGCCCAUCCUCUUCGUCACGCACAAUGGGAAAAGUUGGCCAUGAUGGUGCUGGUUCGAGCUCCACCACAUACCGGGCCGUUGUUCGUCGGUAGCAGACCGAGCUCCGCCUCCACACCGACCGUCCUUUUGGGUGUCAGGACCGGACCUCAGCGGCGUUUUCCUGGACAGGACCUCAACGGCGACCUGCAGGUCCCAACUGAGAUGCCUGGAUACUUAUCUUAAUAUAAGGUGCCUGCCAUUGUUGAUUUCUUUGGAUGAUUCAUAAGCUGGUUAUUAGCAGGUGUACGUGCUGAUGAUAAAAGGAGCACCACUCAACCAAAUGGUUUGAUUUUUUUAGUCUAAUGAAACACUGUUAGUUCACUUUAUUAGACUUGUUUAAAAAUGGUCAGUAUCUUGAGUUCCAGGUGUUCAAAUUAUCACACAUACCAUAAGAGAAUUAGCCACUUUUCAGCUGUUUUCCCUAAAUCUGAAUGUGUCUGUGUACUAAUCCCUAGAAAACAAUUCAUACCAUAUUAGUAAUUUCAGAAUUGCUGAGUCUUCUUCAUUCUCUGAUCUAGAAAGUUUAUGUUGUAAAUUUUGCAUUAGGACUAUACAGCUAAUGAUUUGUGGAUGGUAAGGUGCCAUUAUAACAGUGAUUUCACUUUAAUUUGUACCGCUUCGACUUCUGUAAAUUCGUAGACUACUAAUUGUUAUAAUGAAAGAAAAUGAUAUAUUUAGUUCAAAUAUGAGAGCUAGACGUGGUCUUUGGAUUUUUCCAUUUAGAUGUUAGAGCUCCUAUGAUACUCAGAUAUCGAUGCAUCUGGGGCUAGAGAAGGUCCUUUUAUGCGUGAUGUCAGUUUAAUACCGGUUUCAAAUUUGCUUCAUCCUGUUUUCCCUCAUUCAUUAAAUUAUAGGAUUCUAUUUGUUUGUCUGACUAAAUGUAGAUAUGAAAUUGUUCUUGACAGAUGAUUGUAACUAAGGUCAUGUUCUAGGUAUAGAAAAUGAUUGUAACUAAGGCCAUGUUCUAGGUAUAAAAAAUGAUCUGCUGGAUCAUGCUCUUGCAAUAACUGAUUUCGCUAUCAAGUCUACAAUCCAAUGUUGAUCUAGAAGGUAGACUCUUUAAACUUCAUUGAUGCUUUCUUGGCCGUUUUGAUCUAAUAUCUCUCUGUUGUGGUUAAUAUAAACAUAUGGUGGUAUAAUUAGUUUUUUCUUUUUUUGUAGGAUAAUAACGUUGUAGAUAGAUGAAGACUGAAUUAGUUCACAGUUGAUCUUGGUUCUGUAUGAUCUUGAAUGUUUAGGUCUCGUAGGUCUGUCUCCCAAGAGCAACAAGAAGAAAUCUGUUAACACAUUAAUGCAUUAUAUAUAACAUAUGUCCAUUUUCACGCAAUGAAAGGUGAGUGCUAAUUACUUCUGCUGAACCAUUAUGGUGCCCCGAACUCUCUGCCCAUUUGAGUUAUACUCUUGAGUCUUGAUGUUGACUGAAUUGAAAAUUGGUAUCUAUCGAGACUCGAGCUUCGUUUUUUCAUGGAUUAGUAGUUAUUGAAUUUUUAUUCCUCUAGCCCAUGCUUGCAGGAACACAAUUAUUGAGUACAACAAUGGGUGUAAAAGAGUAUGUGCAGAGUGAAUUUGAUAACAUAGAAGCUCAGAUUAGAAGCACAAAUGCGGUCCUUUAUUCCCUGGUACUAUACCAUUUGAUGAUUUGCUAUGGGUAUUCGGAGUGCUAAGAUCAAGGUUUCCCUGAGCUCCAUGGAUAUAAGCUUGCCCUCAUACCAUUUGUUGAUCUGGAAAUGGAUUGUAGGUUUCUGUCUUCCAGUACCGAUGUUCUUUCUUCCCUUCAUUAGCUGGAAUUGGCAUAGUUUCUUCAAACAUACGCAGCUUACUGAUAAGCAAAAAAAUUAUUGCCAGACAAUGGAGGUGAUGGAUGUAUUGAUGAUGGAUUUAGUGGUAGUAAUACAACUUCUGGCUUUUCUGGUAGGGUAUGGGAAAUCUUUUCAGCCCAUGCAUGAUUGGGCUCGUGCCAUUUUCCCCAUUUUUGAUCAGAAUCGGCAUCAUUCAUGCAUCUAUUCCUGUGUGCACGGGUGGUUUAACAAAUGAUUGCAUUCUGCUUUGGCAAUGGCAGCUGUUCAAGAUGGAGGACGCGAGCGUGGGCAUGUGGGUGGGGCAGUUCAACGACGGCGACACAGGAAAGGCCGCCGUGCAGUACGUAUAUGGGACGCGGUUCCGCCAGGCCGACUGUGCCGCCGACUACCUCGCCGCCCGCUACAAGUCAUCAGGGCAGAUGUUGUGCUCCGGGAGAAGCUGGCUGCAAUGUCAAAUGACAUGACACGAAACACAAAAAGUUACUGGAUGGAACAAGCAAGCUCUUACUACUGUUGGACGAUCCAAGCUCAUGUUUCAGGAAGGUUGGGUAAGUUGAGUAGCAGCCUUAAUUUAGGGGAACCUGACAAGUUAAGUUACUUGCAAGUUGCAUCACCUCUCAUGUAUGUACAUGGCCAAGCAAGUAGUAGUAAACAUAGAACCCGUCAGAUCAAAAGGUAACAUGGACCUGUCACUCAUCUGUAUUGCCUGCCUUCUUGUUAAAAUAAGUUCAGUAACACUGCUAUGCACAUGCCAUACACACAGUGCCAAAAAGCAACAGCAAGUACGGUAGCCUAAUUAGUAGCGCUCCUUACCGCCUUAGUGUCAUCCUGAAUUCCUGAUGCUUUACAUCCUCUAGCUGUUUUUUUUUUCUGUUUUUUUGCAUCCUCUAGAUGAACUCUGUUUACUGAAUCUUCCAGCAUUGUCGGUAGCUCAUGUUUUGAUGUCCAAGCAGCUGACGUUUUACAGAUUGAUAUAUACCCCCUGUACUGAAGAAGUGGGUGUUUCUAUGGAUGGAUCGGGUCAAAUGUAUGCAUAUAUACCACACUUGAGGUCAAUUGUGUUUUCUCAGGUUUAUGUAGGAAUGACGACUAUUUUCAGAACAAAAAAACUUGAAUUGGAAAUGGAACCUUGAUGGUUUGAUGUUUGCUGAAGAACCGGAAGCAGGUUUUCUAUCUUGACAAGCAUUUCCUUUUGUUCCUAACUGUUGACUCUUUCCUAUGGAAGCUCUGAAACAAAAUGAGUUGGCCUAAAAUUAAGGAUUAAUGCAUUUGAUAUCUGAUUUGAGAAAACAGAUUCACAGAAUAUAAGUAGAAGGUAGAAUGUAGCAUUCAUCAUCGCUAUCUUGUACAUAGACAGUUCAACCAACUGCUCCGAGAGGAGACGUUGAAGGUGACGAGGGCGACGAGCAAGUCGGCGCCUGUGAAGCUUUGCAGGAGCCAUUCCAGCAGAUCUUCCAGAGCCACAAGGAGAACCUAAAAAUCAGUGCAGCCUGGUGUACGAGAAGAAGUGCGCGCAGCUGAGGAGCCAGGACGCCAACGGUGCGGAGCCGUUCGCCAUCCAGAGGACCAGGGCUACCACCCUCGCCUCGGUCGACGCUGUGUCCCAGAGGGUCGUUGCCGUCCAUGACGCUGACAAGGAUGUGACGAUUCAUUGGCGACGCACACCAGAUAAUGAAGAAGAUGGCGGACGAGGCAAGCGCGCUCCUCUUGUCGCCCUCACGGUUGGCGGAAGGCAUCAAGGGCCCGCUGCCGCCAGGGCCGACGUGCGCACAAUUUAUAUUGCUGCAUCUUAUUUUUCCAAACAGCAAGAUGAUGUGUCAAUACAUAUAGAGAUUUAGAUAUGUUGCAUUUGACAAUACAAUAUCAAAGCUUGUAUC